CUACGGGUUGCUCCAGUGGGGAAUAUUGCACAAUGGGCGCAAGCCUGAUGCAGCCAUGCCGCGUGUAUGAAGAAGGCCUUCGGGUUGUAAAGUACUUUCAACGAGGAGGAAGGGAGUAAAGUUAAUACCUUUGCUCAUUGACGUUACCCGCAGAAGAAACACCGGCUAACUCCGUGCCAGCAGCCGCGGUAAUACGGAGGGUGCAAGCGUUAAUCGGAAUUACUGGGCGUAAAGCGCACGCAGGCGGUUUGUUAAGUCAGAUGUGAAAUCCCCGGGCUCAACCUGGGAACUGCAUCUGAUACUGGCAAGCUUGAGUCUCGUAGAGGGGGGUAGAAUUCCAGGUGUAGCGGUGAAAUGCGUAGAGAUCUGGAGGAAUACCGGUGGCGAAGGCGGCCCCCUGGACGAAGACUGACGCUCAGGUGCGAAAGCGUGGGGAGCAAACAGGAUUAGAUACCCCCGUAGUC
rnacentral:rRNA from 1 species